rnacentral:rRNA from 1 species
GAUGAACGCUGGCGGCGUGCCUAAUACAUGCGAGUCGAGCGAACGGACGAGAAGCUUGCUUCUCUGAUGUUAGCGGCGGACGGGUGAGUAACACGUGGAUAACCUACCUAUAAGACUGGGAUAACUUCGGGAAACCGUAGCUAAUACCGGAUAAUAUUUUGAACCGCAUGGUUCAAAAGUGAAAGACGGUCUUGCUGUCACUUAUAGAUGGAUCCGCGCUGCAUUAGCUAGUUGGUAAGGUAACGGCUUACCAAGGCAACGAUGCAUAGCCGACCUGAGAGUGUGAUCGGCCACACUGGAACUGAGACACGGUCCAGACUCCUACGGGAGGCAGCAGUAGGGAAUCUUCCGCAAUGGGCGAAAGCCUGACGGAGCAACGCCGCGUGAGUGAUGAAGGUCUUCGGAUCGUAAAACUCUGUUAUUAGGGAAGAACAUAUGUGUAAGUAACUGUGCACAUCUUGACGGUACCUAAUCAGAAAGCCACGGCUAACUACGUG